rnacentral:snRNA from 1 species
GUGCUCGCUUUGGCAAUACAUAUACUAAAAUUGGGAUGAUACAGAGAAGAUUAACAUGGCCCUUGCUCAAGGAUGACAAAGCACGUUCGUGACGUGUUCCAUAUUACA